rnacentral:rRNA from 1 species
UACGUAGGGUGCAAGCGUUAAUCGGAAUUACUGGGCGUAAAGCGUGCGCAGGCGGUGAUGUAAGACAGUUGUGAAAUCCCCGGGCUCAACCUGGGAACUGCAUCUGUGACUGCAUUGCUGGAGUGCGGCAGUGGGGGAUGGAAUUCCGCGUGUAGCAGUGAAAUGCGUAGAUAUGCGGAGGAACACCGAUGGCGAAGGCAAUCCCCUGGGCCUGCACUGACGCUCAUGCACGAAAGCGUGGGGAGCAAACAGG